GCGCCGGCUAACUACGUGCCAGCAGCCGCGGUAAUACGUAGGGCGCAAGCGUUAUCCGGAAUUAUUGGGCGUAAAGAGCUCGUAGGCGGUUUGUCGCGUCUGCUGUGAAAUCCGGAGGCUCAACCUCCGGCCUGCAGUGGGUACGGGCAGACUAGAGUGCGGUAGGGGAGAUUGGAAUUCCUGGUGUAGCGGUGGAAUGCGCAGAUAUCAGGAGGAACACCGAUGGCGAAGGCAGAUCUCUGGGCCGUAACUGACGCUGAGGAGCGAAAGGGUGGGGAGCAAACAGGCUUAGAUACCCUGGUAGUCCACCCCGUAAACGUUGGGAACUAGUUGUGGGGUCCAUUCCACGGAUUCCGUGACGCAGCUAACGCAUUAAGUUCCCCGCCUGGGGAGUACGGCCGCAAGGCUAAAACUCAAAGGAAUUGACGGGGACCCGCACAAGCGGCGGAGCAUGCGGAUUAAUUCGAUGCAACGCGAAGAACCUUACCAAGGCUUGACAUAUACGAGAACGGGCCAGAAAUGGUCAACUCUUUGGACACUCGUAAACAGGUGGUGCAUGGUUGUCGUCAGCUCGUGUCGUGAGAUGUUGGGUUAAGUCCCGCAACGAGCGCAACCCUCGUUCUAUGUUGCCAGCACGUAAUGGUGGGAACUCAUGGGAUACUGCCGGGGUCAACUCGGAGGAAGGUGGGGAUGACGUCAAAUCAUCAUGCCCCUUAUGUCUUGGGCUUCACGCAUGCUACAAUGGCCGGUACAAAGGGCUGCAAUACCGCGAGGUGGAGCGAAUCCCAAAAAGCCGGUCCCAGUUCGGAUUGAGGUCUGCAACUCGACCUCAUGAAGUCGGAGUCGCUAGUAAUCGCAGAUCAGCAACGCUGCGGUGAAUACGUUCCCGGGUCUUGUACACACCGCCCGUCAAGUCAUGAAAGUCGGUAACACCUGAAGC
rnacentral:rRNA from 1 species